CCCGGCACUCGACCCAUUCCUUUUUGGUAUCGGGCGGUUAUCGACUAUGGCGUUAUUGGCGCUCUCGUUCCCCAUUGGCACCAAAAAAAGGAAAGCAAGAAGAACACCGGAACAGUCCACGACGGAACAAACUACACCCUUGUCUCCGGCGAUCUUCUCCGGGCUCUGGCUUCGAUAUUGCGGAGUUUGAGUCGUCUGCUCAUUGUUUGAUUGUGACAACUCUGAUUUCAGCUUAAGAAAGAGACCGCCAAUCGGUGCUUGAAAUUCGGCCGGAGAAAGAUUCCAGUCGAAGGGAUGAUAAAUCUAGCUAAACGUGUGGAGCAUCUCCGAGACCACCAGAUCCUGUCCCAGCACAAGUGUCCUGCUCUCACUAUCUUCUCUCCUAAAUCCCAUAUCGUUUCCUGGGUUGAUGUAGCUGUGGCUAUCUUUUGGGCCUUGGUGUUCAGCAUCUUGUCAUAUCAUCCUACUUAACCCUGUACUUCAGGCGCUUCUGGCUUUAUUUUUUCAUUGGUGUUUCCUUCCUAUACGCCUAAGAAGUUCUAGGCAGGCACUGAAUCGGAAGAGGGAAAGAAGAUUGUUGUUACCUUUGUCCAUGUGAAUGUUCUAUACUCUUAAGUGCUUGCAGAAGUAUCUCGUUUCUUGCCUGGGUUAAAUACACCACUUUCAAUCAUGUGCCUUAUGCAAGUACAUACAUGAAGCUUGGAACACUGCUCUUAGGCAAUCAGGAUUGUCACCGCCUUCUCUAAGGUUGAUGGGCUAUGUUGCAUUGAUGAUGUCUUGCACGAGGGUACCAUAUUGGACCAUUAGAAGAAAAGGAUGGGCACCAUGUGAUUCUCGAGCAGGUAUAUUUAACAGUAGGUCUUCAAGGUUAUUAUUUGCUUGACUCUGGAUGGCUUCAAUUAUGAACCUAUAUUUGUAUCUUUUCUUAUCUGAUGAGAAAAUUGAGGCCAAUAUCAUAGAAUUUUCCCCCUCCCAUAAAAAAUGUCAUGGCACCCAUGUUUUAGUCAUGGGUUUCUAAAAUUUUGAAAUACUUGUGCACAUGAUUAGUGAAAUUCAGUCUGUUCUCUA